GCGCGCCUCGGGUCGCCGGCGCAAGGCCCCCAGCCCGGUACACGGGGCGUCGACCAGCACCCGGUCGAAGCCCGGUUCGAGGCCGGGCUCGCGCCC
rnacentral:tRNA from 1 species